CCUACGGGUGGCAGCAGUGGGGAAUAUUGCACAAUGGGGGAAACCCUGAUGCAGCGACGCCGCGUGAGUGAAGAAGUAUUUCGGUAUGUAAAGCUCUAUCAGCAGGGAAGAAAAUGACGGUACCUGUUUAAGAAGCCCCGGCUAACUACGUGCCAGCAGCCGCGGUACUACGUAGGGGGCAAGCGUUAUCCGGAUUUACUGGGUGUAAAGGGAGCGUAGACGGCAGCACAAGUCUGGAGUGAAAUGCCGGGGCUUAACCCCGGAACUGCUUUGGAAACUGUGCAGCUAGAGUGCAGGAGAGGUAAGUGGAAUUCCUAGUGUAGCGGUGAAAUGCGUAGAGAUUAGGAGGAACACCAGUGGCGAAGGCGGCUUACUGGACUGUAACUGACGUUGAGGCUCGAAAGCGUGGGGAGCAAACAGGAUUAGAUACCCCUGUAGUC
rnacentral:rRNA from 1 species